UGGGGAGUAUUGGACAAUGGGCGCAAGCCUGAUCCAGCCAUGCCGCGUGGGUGAAGAAGGCCUUAGGGUUGUAAAUCCCUUUCAGCGGGGAAGAUAAUGACGGUACCCGCAGAAGAAGUCCCGGCUAACUCCGUGCCAGCAGCCGCGGUAAUACGGAGGGGACUAGCGUUGUUCGGAAUUACUGGGCGUAAAGCGCACGUAGGCGGAUUUGUAAGUCAGGGGUGAAAUCCCGAGGCUCAACCUCGGAACUGCCUUUGAUACUGCGAAUCUCGAGUCCGGAAGAGGUGAGCGGAAUUCCUAGUGUAGAGGUGAAAUUCGUAGAUAUUAGGAAGGACACCAGUGGCGAAGGCGGCUCACUGGUCCGGUACUGACGCUGAGGUGCGAAAGCGUGGGGAGCAAA
rnacentral:rRNA from 1 species